CUUGCUGCUUCGCUGACGAGUGGCGGACGGGUGAGUAAUGUCUGGGAAACUGCCUGAUGGAGGGGGAUAACUACUGGAAACGGUAGCUAAUACCGCAUAACGUCGCAAGACCAAAGAGGGGGACCUUCGGGCCUCUUGCCAUCGGAUGUGCCCAGAUGGGAUUAGCUUGUUGGUGGGGUAACGGCUCACCUAGGCGACGAUCCCUAGCUGGUCUGAGAGGAUGACCAGCCACACUGGAACUGACACACGGUCCACACU
rnacentral:rRNA from 1 species